rnacentral:rRNA from 1 species
AUACGGAGGGUCCAAGCGUUAUCCGGAUUUAUUGGGUUUAAAGGGUGUGUAGGCGGAAAUGUAAGUCAGUGGUGAAAUCCUGCAGCUUAACUGCAGAACUGCCAUUGAAACUGCUUUUCUUGAGUAUAGUUGAAGUGGGCGGAAUGGGUCAUGUAGCGGUGAAAUGCAUAGAGAUGACUCGGAACACCAAUUGCGAAGGCAGCUCACUAAGCUAUUACUGACGCUUAGGCACGAAAGCGUGGGUAGCGAACAGGAUUAGAAACCCCAGUAGUCC